rnacentral:misc_RNA from 1 species
GAUGAAGAACGUAGCGAAAUGCAAUAAGUAAUGUGAAUUGCAGAAUUCAGUGAAUCAUCGAAUCUUUGAACGCACAUUGCGCCCCUUGGUAUUCCGAGGGGCAUGCCUGUUCGAGCGUCAUUAUAACCCCUCAAGCUCAGCUUGGUGUUGGGGCCUGCUGCACUGGCAGCCCUUAAAAUCAGUGGCGGCGCCAUCUGGCUCUAAGCGUAGUAAUUCUUCUCGCUAUGGAGUCCUGGUGGAUGCUUGCCAUCAACCCCCAAUUUUUCUAUGGUUGACCUCGGAUCAGGUAGGGAUACCCGCUGAACUUAAGCAUAUCAAUAAGCGGAGGA